CCAGACUCCUACGGGAGGCAGCAGUGAGGAAUAUUGGUCAAUGGGCUUACGCCUGAACCAGCCAAGUCGCGUGAGGGAAGACUGCCCUAUGGGUUGUAAACCUCUUUUGUCAGGGAGCAACGCCGGCUACGUGUAGCCGGACUGAGAGUACCUGAAGAAAAAGCAUCGGCUAACUCCGUGCCAGCAGCCGCGGUAAUACGGAGGAUGCGAGCGUUAUCCGGAUUUAUUGGGUUUAAAGGGUGCGUAGGCGGAAUGCCAAGUCAGCGGUAAAAUCGCGGGGCUCAACCUCGCUCCGCCGUUGAAACUGGCGUUCUUGAGUGGGCGAGAAGUAUGCGGAAUGCGUGGUGUAGCGGUGAAAUGCAUAGAUAUUACACAGAACACCGAUUGCGAAGGCAGCUUGCUAGGCCGGAUCUGACACUGAUGCACGAAAGCGUGGGGAUCGAACAGGAUUAGAUACCCGUGUAAA
rnacentral:rRNA from 1 species